rnacentral:rRNA from 1 species
UACGAAGGGGGCUAGCGUUGUUCGGAAUCACUGGGCGUAAAGCGCGUGUAGGCGGAUGGGUAAGUACCUUGUGAAAUCCCACGGCUCAACCGUGGAACUGCUCGGUAUACUGCUCGUCUUGAGCCAACUAGGGGCGACCGGAACAAACGGUGGAGCGGUGAAAUGCGUAGAUAUCGUUUGGAACGCCGAUGGUGAAAACAGGUCGCUGGGGUUGUGCUGACGCUGAGACACGAAAGCCAGGGGAGCGAACGGGG